UUUUAACCUUCUCUAAAAUUAAACCAUUUAACCCAUCUACACCAUACAUGUGUUCCGGUACAUUACAAUUUUUCCGGAACAGAAAAAUAAAACCCAGUUACCCCUUCAUCGUCGCGUGUCCGUCGCCGGCAACAACAACAACAAUUGUUCAAGUCACAAUUGAAUCUCUUCCUAUUCCAAUUUGGUAUUCCUCAAUUCCUCAAUAAAUCCCUUUUCAUGUUUGUUGAAGAGAUACGACCCCUUUUGUUGCAGUGAUACGACCCCUUUUCCUCAACAAAAUUGAAUCUCUUCUUGUUUGUUGCAGAGAUACGAUCUCGAUUAAUCCUUUUUCUUUCACCGCUUCCACAUAACUUUUUCCAAAGAAACAAUGAACGCCUGAAGACACUGCAGUGGAAUGGUUCGAGGAUUGACUCACGACGAUUGAAGUCGAAACUCUAUAGCAGUUGCAAAAGUUUUCAAAUGUUAAACUUUGUUGACAACUCCAAUUUUUAAUUUUGGUUUUCUUUUGAGUUUGAUUGUUAUUGAAUCUCUUGCAAAAGUUAUUCAAUUUUGAGUUUGAGUGAACACCUUAAACUUAAACACAAUACAAGUGAAUGCUGGUAUGAAAAAUUGGUGUGAGAAUUGGGUAGUUUGAUUCUUACCAAGAGUUCAGUUCCUAUUAAUUUGUUGUGCAGAAGAAAUUUUAACUAUGCAUGAAUGAAUGUUAUACACAGAUAUAAGCACAAUAUAGAAAGACGUUUUUUGUAAUUUUUCUGGUUUAAUUUAGUGUUCCAGAAAACUAAUGAUGUUACCGGAAAAGUUGUGAAGGGUGGAU
rnacentral:lncRNA from 1 species